rnacentral:misc_RNA from 1 species
CCCCGGAGAAAUCCUGACGGAACUUCGUGCCCUCCUGCAACGUCACUAUCGUACCGAGACGUCAUCGCAGGAGGGCAAGGCAACAAUGCGUGUCCACAGACACCCCCCGCGACCGCCCGCGCUCAUCCUCGCGCUAAUCAUCACCUCACUGCUCGGCUGCACCACCCAGCCGUCCUCGCCGACCUCUACUCCUGCUCCUCCUCCUGCAACUCCCCGCUUCAUCGCCACGGCAGGCCCGUCCGCAAGCGCAUCACCGCCACCAGGUACCCCUGCUACCCCUCGCCCUGCCCCUGCGACCCCAUGUGCGACACUCAGU